rnacentral:rRNA from 1 species
GUACACAUGCAGUCGACGGUUACAGGAACCCGCUUGCUUUUCGCUGACGAGUGGAGGACGGGUGAGUAGUGUCUGGGAAACUGCCUGAUGGAGGGGGAUAACUACUGGAAACGGUAGCUAAUACCGCUAAACGUCGCAAGACCAAAGAGGGGGACCUUCGGGCCUCUUGCGCUCGGAUGUGCCCAGAUGGGAUUAUGGAGUAGGUGGGGUAACGGCUCACCGAGGCGACGAUCCCUAGCUGGUCUGAAAGGAUGACCAGCCACGCUGGGUCUGAGACACGCGUCCAGACUCCUAAGGGAGGCAGCACUGGGGAAUAUUGCACAAUGGGCGAAUCUUCGAUGCAGGACUGCCGCGUGUAUGAAGAAGGCCUUCUGGUUGAAAAAAGCUUUCAGAGGGCCGAGGAAGGGAGUAAAGUUAAUAACUUUGCUCAGAGCUUGACGUUACCCCGUCCCCUGACACCGGCUAACUCCGUGCCACGGCUAACUACAAUGCCGUAGAGGGUGCGGCGUUAAUCGCCGAAUUACUGGGUUGUCCGGAUUUAUUGGCGGUUUGUUAAGUCCAAUGUGUUUUCUCCGUCUAAGCCUGGGAACUGCAUUCCAGGCUGGAGGGCUUUGUCUCUUG